rnacentral:lncRNA from 12 species
CGCCGGCGGGUCGCGGCGGGGGAUGGGAGGAUAAAGGCGGCCGCCCGGGUCCCUCUCGCCCGGCUCCCGGGAGCGCCUGCGGCCACGCGGGGCGGAGAGUUUGAGAGGACCGGGCCUGGGGGGCACGCGGGGCUGAGCCCCGACAAGGCCGACGGGCACCUCCGGGGAGCCGCCAGAGGGGGGCGGGGGCGGGGGCGGGGGCGGGGGGCGCGCGGGGGAGGGCGCUCCGGGGCGGCCUCCUGCCGCGGGCGCACCUCCGCGACGCGUGCCCGGGCCCCGGGGCCGCCCUAGCCCCCGGCGAGCGUCGCCGGACAGGUGGCCCGGCACCUGCUGAUCCCGCGCUCUCGGCCGGGGAGCGCCGGGGAUGAGAUCGGCCGCCACGCUCGGGGUCGCGGCCUCGGGGAAGGAUGCCGCAUUCCCCCUUCCUCGUCCCCUCCCCGUUGCUUUUCCCAGAAACAUUCCUUGGUUCCCCGAGGCCGGGCGCCGGGUGCUGCGCCCAGAACCUAACCGCGCCGCCCUCCCCCCGCCCGCGCCCGGAGGGCCCCACUCCCGACCAGCCCCGGGGAGGGAGCACGAGGCUCCGGCGGGGGCGCAGCGGUUGCUUGAGUCGGUCCGGAGGGGAGGCCUCUCCCCGCAUCAGCCCCGGCCCACAGCAGCCCCCCUCCGCUGCUGGGGCGCUGUCCACCCCAUUUAUGGGACCCGCGGGUGCUCGCGCCCCCCCCACCCCCGGGCCUACGGGCAGGGGGGCCGGAGCUGUGGGCCCCACCUGGGCCGCCGGCCGGGUCUGCGGGCGCAGCGGGCCGGGGAUGGGGAGCCCCCACGCGGAGCAGGUGCUCCCCUGGAAUUCAUUUUGGAAGCCGAGGCGCCUGCUCUCGGCGAAUGAGCCCGGCCGCCCGGUGAGUCACCGCGAGCGCCGACAAGGAUUCCCGCAGCUGGUAAUUACCCGGCGGAACCGGCCGGCCGGGCCUCCUGCGCCCCGCAGCCGCAGCCCUGAGUCACAGCCGUCGGGCCGGGCCGCCCCAGCCGCCUGCCCGCCCGCCCGGCGCCACCAGGGGGCACUGGACUCCGGCCCACAGGUGGCCCCGCUCGGAGCCAGGUGGGAAGGCUUCCAACGGGGGACAGUCACGUGCCCAAGGACACAGGACAGUUACCACCUCGAACCCCGCUUCUGUCCAGCACUCCCUCGAGGACCCCAGCCGCCCUCUGACCCCAACGUCAUGGUGCCUUGGAGAGUCACAGACCACCGCCCCCCCCCCCACACACACACACACAAAGGCUGCCUCUUCCUUUUCUCCUCGCUCCAAAAUAUGGCCUUUGGACUCAAGCCCCCGGAGCCAGACCUCAGGGAGGGAUCUUGGGGCUGGAAAAAGAAACUCACACGCGGGACUCUCUACCCCCCACCUGCCCCCCCGAACGGGGGAAAUGAGGUCCCUGGAGCAAAACCUGGCUCCUGGCGUCUCCCCUAUGUCCCCAGCACCCCCCACACCUCAGCGGCUCAGCUAGGUCUGUGGGUUGGCACUGCCUGACUGUCCACAAGGAGCCUAGACUACCGCAGGCGCCUCUGGGGAGCCUCUGGGGAGCCUCUGGUGAGCCCAGCUCCUCUGCUACCCCUAGGGUUCCGGGGGCACCCACUCCAGCCCAGCUCCAGUGGGGGGGGGACUCAACUCCCAACCAAUGAGAAAGGACCUGGGAAAGCAUUUCUAGGAGGAGCUGGGGCAAAGGGAGGGAGGCAGGAAAGCCCCACCCCUCCCCCCACCCCCAGCAAGACCCCCUGAUUUAGGGGAGCAGAUACGUUCUCUGUGCAGCAUAGGCCACUGUGGGUUCAUCCCAAGCCUGGCAGGAGCCGCAGCCGGCCUGUGUCCGUCACUGGGCCUCCCUGGACCUCGGUAUCUUCUUUAGUAAAAACAGAUGUGUUGGUUCAGGUAAUAAAGAACAUCGCGCCCUUACA